GGAGUGGACGCAUCACUGGUGUUCGGGUUGUCAUGCCAAUGGCACUGCCCGGUAGCUAAAUGCGGAAGAGAUAAGUGCUGAAAGCAUCUAAGCACGAAACUUGCCCCGAGAUGAGUUCUCCCUGAGACUUUAAGUCUCCUGAAGGAACGUUGAAGACGACGACGUUGAUAGGCCGGGUGUGUAAGCGCAGCGAUGCGUUGAGCUAACC
rnacentral:rRNA from 1 species